rnacentral:rRNA from 1 species
GACAGAGGGUGCAAACGUUGUUCGGAAUUACUGGGCGUAAAGCGCGUGUAGGCGGUCUCGCAAGUCGGAUGUGAAAGCCCAGGGCUCAACCCUGGAAGUGCACUCGAUACUGCGAGGCUAGAGUCCCGGAGAGGAUGGUGGAACUCUCGGUGUAGAGGUGAAAUUCGUAGAUAUCGAGAAGAACACCGGUGGCGAAGGCGGCCAUCGUGGGACGGUGACCUGACGCUGAGACGCGAAAGCGUGGGGAGCAAAACAGG